CUACGGGGUGCUCCAGUGGGGAAUAUUGCACAAUGGGCGCAAGCCUGAUGCAGCCAUGCCGCGUGUAUGAAGAAGGCCUUCGGGUUGUAAAGUACUUUCAGCGGGGAGGAAGGGAGUAAAGUUAAUACCUUUGCUCAUUGACGUUACCCGCAGAAGAAGCACCGGCUAACUCCGUGCCAGCAGCCGCGGUAAUAGCGGAGGGUGCAAGCGUUAAUCGGAAUUACUGGGCGUAAAGCGCACGCAGGCGGUUUGUUAAGUCAGAUGUGAAAUCCCCGGGCUCAACCUGGGAACUGCAUCUGAUACUGGCAAGCUUGAGUCUCGUAGAGGGGGGUAGAAUUCCAGGUGUAGCGGUGAAAUGCGUAGAGAUCUGGAGGAAUACCGGUGGCGAAGGCGGCCCCCUGGACGAAGACUGACGCUCAGGUGCGAAAGCGUGGGGAGCAAACAGGAUUAGAUACCCGUGUAGUC
rnacentral:rRNA from 1 species